AUUGAACGCUGGCGGCAUGCUUUACACAUGCAAGUCGAACGGUAACAGGGAGCUUGCUCCGCUGACGAGUGGCGAACGGGUGAGUAGUGCGUCGGAACGUGCCGAGUAGUGGGGGAUAACGCAUCGAAAGAUGUGCUAAUACCGCAUACGUACUGAGGUAGAAAGUGGGGGACCUUCGGGCCUCACGCUAUUCGAGCGGCCGACGUCUGAUUAGCUAGUUGGUGAGGUAAAGGCUCACCAAGGCGACGAUCAGUAGCGGGUCUGAGAGGAUGAUCCGCCACACUGGGACUGAGACACGGCCCAGACUCCUACGGGAGGCAGCAGUGGGGAAUUUUGGACAAUGGGCGCAAGCCUGAUCCAGCCAUGCCGCGUGUCUGAAGAAGGCCUUCGGGUUGUAAAGGACUUUUGUCCGGGAGCAAAUGCCUGGUGUUAAUAGCACUGGGAGCUGAGAGUACCGGAAGAAUAAGCACCGGCUAACUACGUGCCAGCAGCCGCAGUAAUAC
rnacentral:rRNA from 1 species